AAUUGGUAGAGGCCAUUGACAGAUGGGAAGACAGAGCGCACAACGGAGCGCAGAGGUGUGGAUUAGUGGACCGACGGUUGUCAGCCAGUGCAUUGUUUUGUUUUCUUAUCGACAGGUUCGGAAUGUGAUUUCAGAAUUAAUGAGUGUAUUGUUCCGAGUUCCGGCUAAAAAACUGUGACAAUUUAUGACCUUGGCUUUACCGAAGGUCGCAGAUUUACUUUCGCGACCGUGAUAAUAACCAGAUACUAUUGUUAGGUUUUACAGUUUCAUUAGAUUAUUAAAUCAGCAGCAUUAGAAAAGUGUGUUUUGGUUAGUUGAAAAUGUUUCACGGAAACAGUAAGCAUUUGGCAGCACUGCUGACAGCAGUUAUUCCGCUAGCCGCAGCAAUGGUUGACGUCGAAUCUCCGGAUGACAGCGAAGCACGUUUCUGUCAAACAGUGGCCGCCCAAGCUGAUGUCAAAUCAAUUAUUGGUGAGCUCACGUCGGGAAUAGUGCGUUGUUUUGGUGAGAAUCCAGACACGGAUAACGGCCAAAGCCAUCAAGAACCUGGUGAAUAUCUACGGUCGUGUUCUUCGUUCCGAUCAUCACUUCUUUGCUGUUCCGAAUUUAUUCUGCGCCUAGACGGCUGCACACCGCCCAAUCCGAUAGUGAGAAUAAUGUCUACCGCUUUGUCGGUGGCAAAGCCAGCAUUUUGCGCACAUCCGGCUGCAAGUAAGACAAUUUAGUCGUCGAUAUAGACGAUAGGGAGCCAUUUGUUGUAUGUUUUAUUGUCGACCAGCAAGAUUUUUUGUUUUCAGUAGAAUCUCUUCGAAAACUUAGCAACUUCCGUUGUAAUGACAAACCUACCACAAUCAUUGGACGCUGUUUGGAGAAGUUAUCGAAAAUUAAAACGAUCACAACCACCAGAUUUACGUUUGCAGAAUGUCAUGAUAUUCGCUCGACAAGGGACUGUUUCAAUCGGUACGCGCUCGAAUGCAACAUUCCAAUGAUGAUUGAUGUGCUGAAUCGUGUUCAUCGAAUCCUGGUCGAGAAGACGCUCUGUGAUAAUCCAGAAAAUAGCAAUGAUUAAUCUUAGCUGUAGAUAUUCGUGCCGUAUUAAUUUGAAUAAAUAUGUAUAAUUUCAUAAUUUCAUU